rnacentral:rRNA from 1 species
GACAUAGGUUGCGAACGUUAUCCGGAAUUAUUGGGCGUAAAGGAUGCGUAGAUGGUGUGAUAAGUUAUCAGUGGCAAAUCGGGGCUCAACCUCGUGGAAGCUGGUAAUACUGUCAUACUUGAGUGCAGGAGAAGUUAACGGAACUCUAUAUGGAGCGGUAAAAAUGUGACGAUAUAUAGAAGAACAUCAAUAAGGCGAAGGCAGUUAACUAUUCUGUUUACUGACAUUUGAGGCAUGAAAGCGUGGGGAGCAAAACGG